ACUGAGCUUUUAUACAUGUAAUUCUUCCUCAUCAAUGCUCUUUUUUUCAUACAACUUUGCAGCGUGAGUGAGGGAGAAAAAACAAACUUUUUUGUCAGCCAUAUUAUUCCUGACAAAUGUAUUGUGGAGAAAAUAUAAUACGGGCAUUUGUAUUAUCAUAUUACAACGUAGUACUGAUAUUUAAUCGCGUUAACGAUAAUAUUAUUUUCUCCUUCGGUUUCCGUAUCUAUAAAUAUUAUAAAAACGAGACCCAUACGCGUGCGUAAAACUCAAAUUUCAACUAAUUCGCGAAAUUCUAUUGGCAUUAGUCGCGUUAUUCUGUUGUUCGGUUUGAUAUUUGAAACAAAUUAAAGGAAACGCAUGAACGUAUACGCUACCCACACAAGCAGAAUAACUGUCGUUAUUAUUAUGCAUAAUUAAU